UUUAAAUAUUGUGGACCAUUCUGUUCAUUCUGUUCUGUUAGCUCAUUUAGCUAACCAGUCUACAACAAUCUACAAAUAGGCCAACCAGUUUACAACAAACCAGAGAACAACCAGUCUACAAUUCUUUUAUGAAAAGGCCGAUUCGUAGCCACAGAGGAUUAUAUGAAAGUAGCCAGUUCAGAACUUUCUGCCGCUCUCCUGAAAUGCAUUUGAAAGGCAUGUAAGCUCAGACCAAGCAAAGAAUCAACAGUGAACCUUUAAAAAUUCUCCAGAUCAAAUGAUUUUUCUAUCUGUCAUAAUUCUCUAGCUGUACUACAAGCACCAUAAACUAAGUAAGCUUUCAGGUGGAAGUCGAAAGAAGUAAAGAAGACAAAUUCUGUUUUGCAGUGACAGUGAUGGGAAUAUGAAUCUCUGGACAAUACAGUGCAGCAAAGUAGCAGGAUGAAUGUUGACUAUCCACAAAAUUAGAUUCACCACUAAAACUAUACAGACAGCAGACAGAAAAAGGGUUAAAAAUGUCCAAGUGUGCAGACACAGGAUACACACAGAAAAGAUUGUGUGUCUGCUGGUGGACAUUUAGCCAAAGCAAAUCUCACUAAUUGACCGGAAGAAAUCUUCAAUCUCACUCUAUAUAGUAAGUUUCCCCUUAUACAUACGAAAACUGAAGUGUACAUGGACAUGAAAAAUGGGAUGCAAUUAAAAAACAAAACAAAACUCUGUUUGAAUCAAAGGAAUACCCAGAUUCUUAAAUGAAAAAUAAUAAAAAGCAACUGAGCAUUGA